rnacentral:rRNA from 1 species
AUGCGCAUGAGGGGUCAUUCCGCUGAUGACUUUGAUUACGACCCGCGGUAUGAGCCUUACAUUUGGAGAUUGGGUCUUCUCCCAUUCGUGUUGCAGUUUAAGCGACACGCUCCGUCGGUGAACCACGUGGCGCUGACCGCACUUGUGGAUCGUUGGAGGCUGGAGACUCACUCGUUCCACCUUCCAUGUGGGGAGAUGACGAUGACCCUACAUGACAUGGCUAUGAUAAGCGGCCUUCCUAUCAACGGACAAGCUGUUACCGGUCGUGUCAGCGUGGGUAAUUGGCGAGAACGGACUGCCGAUUUAAUUGGCGUUCAGCCCGAGGACCCUCAGGAAGGCAAGGCCGAUACCGCGAAAGUGAGGCAUUCUUGGCUAAAACUGGUCAGAGGAAACACCAAUCCGUGCCCUCGGGAUGCCAAUGACGUGGUUGUGCAGCAGUACGCGCGGGCCUAUCUUUGGUAUGUACUAACCAAGUUAGUCUUCUCAGAUGCAACCGGGAACUCAGCCCUCUGGAUGUUCCUGGAGCUACUCAAUAACUGGGAUACCCAGUAUAGCUGGGGUUCGGCCGCACAAGCAUAUUUGUAUCGUCAGCUUGACUUGGCGUGUCAGAGAAAGGGAGAUACAUCCUCAUUGUCUGGGUUUGUUUGGAGCCUAUCCGUGUGGAUGUGGGAGCGGAUCCCGGUUGGACGGCCCGAUUUCAAGAACCCCCUCAUGGCAAACCCACGGGGUAAUCAUGACUGGUUGCAUGAUGAUGAUCCAUAUCGGCGCCCUACGCUUGCUUACUAUUGGGAACAAGUGACAGUCUACACAGGAAGCUCGCAUGUGCGAUACAAGUGCUAUAUGAACGAGCUGGACACCUUGACUGCUGAGCAGGUAUAUUGGUUGCCUUAUGUGGAAGAUUGUGACUUUGAUCUUAAUGAGAUGUGCACGCGUGAUAGCCAUCUUUGGCAGGCGAGGUGCCCAAUGAUAUGCUUCUUCGCAGUCGAGUGGCACUUUGUAGACCGUGUGGCAAGACAAUUUGGAAGAAGACAAGGUAUUCCAAUUGAGGAGAGCAAGGAGGAAAUGCUAUCUCUGCAUCGGUUCGAUCGAAGGAACAGUCAGGAUAUAUCGGAUUGGGCAAACAAACACUAUGCAUGGAUAGAAAUUUGGAAUCAAAGAGACACGCUAGUGCAAUCAGAGAAUAGACCUCACAAUCAGUUAGCAUAUUAG